AGUGAACGCUGGCGGUAGGCCUAACACAUGCAAGUCGAACGGCAGCACAGUAAGAGCUUGCUCUUACGGGUGGCGAGUGGCGGACGGGUGAGGAAUACAUCGGAAUCUACUUUUUCGUGGGGGAUAACGUAGGGAAACUUACGCUAAUACCGCAUACGACCUACCGGUGAAAGCAGGGGAUCUUCGGACCUUGCGCGAUUGAAUGAGCCGAUGUCGGAUUAGCUAGUUGGCGGGGUAAAGGCCCACCAAGGCGACGAUCCGUAGCUGGUCUGAGAGGAUGAUCAGCCACACUGGAACUGAGACACGGUCCAGACUCCUACGGGAGGCAGCAGUGGGGAAUAUUGGACAAUGGGCGCAAGCCUGAUCCAGCCAUACCGCGUGGGUGAAGAAGGCCUUCGGGUUGUAAAGCCCUUUCGUUGGGAAAGAAAAGCAGCAGGUUAAUACCCCGCUGUUCUGACGGUACCCAAAGAAUAAGCACCGGCUAACUUCGUG
rnacentral:rRNA from 1 species